GCUGGAGCUAUCAGAAGUGCGAAUGCUGACAUGAGUAGCGUUAAAGGGGGUGAAAAGCCCCCUCGCCGAAAGCGCAAGGUUUCCUACGCAACGUUCAUCGGCGUAGGGUGAGUCGGCCCCUAAGGCGAGGCAGAGAUGCGUAGCUGAUGGGAAACAGGUCAAUAUUCCUGUACCGAUCAAUAGUGCGAUGUGGGGACGGAGAAGGUUAGCUCAGCCGGGUGUUGGAUGUCCCGGUUCAAGCGUGUAGGUUGGUUCUUUAGGCAAAUCCGGAGAGCUAAGAUCGAGACGUGAUAACGAGUGUACUUUGUACAUGAAGUGAUUGAUACCAUGCUUCCAAGAAAAGCCACUAAGCUUCAGUUAUAUUAAAACCGUACCGCAAACCGACACAGGUGGGCAGGAUGAGAAUUCUAAGGCGCUUGAGAGAACUCUGGAGAAGGAACUCGGCAAAUUGACACCGUAACUUCGGAAGAAGGUGUGCCUUUAGUAGGUGUAGUUGUACAAACGAAGCCCAAUGAGGCCGCAGAGAAUCGGUGGCUGCAACUGUUUAUUAAAAACACAGCACUCUGCAAAGACGAAAGUCGACGUAUAGGGUGUGACUCCUGCCCGGUGCUGGAAGAUUAAAUGAUGGGGUGCAAGCUCUUGACUGAAGUCCCAGUAAACGGCGGCCGUAACUAUAACGGUCCUAAG
rnacentral:rRNA from 13 species